UUUCCGUUGGUGAACCUGCGGAAGGAUCAUUAUUGUAUAACCGAGGUGCGAGGGCUGUCGCUGACCCGAAAGGUCGUGCACGCCCGAGUGCCCUCACACACAUCCAUCUCACCCCUAUGUGCACCACCGCGUGGGUCCCCCUUUGGCUUGUUCGGAGGGGGGCUUACGUUUUCACACAAACUUUGUAUGCAGUGUAGAAUGUAUUUUUUGUUCUUGCGAUCACGCAAUCAAUACAACUUUCAACAACGGAUCUCUUGGCUCUC
rnacentral:misc_RNA from 1 species